rnacentral:rRNA from 1 species
CCCUACGGGGCGCAGCAGUUGCGAAAACUCCGCAAUGCACGAAAGUGUGACGGGGCUACCCCGAGUGCCGUCCGCUGAGGAUGGCUUUUCUCCGCUGUAAGGAGGCGGAGGAAUAAGGAGAGGGCAAGACUGGUGUCAGCCGCCGCGGUAAUACCAGCUCUCCGAGUGGUAGGGGUGAUUAUUGGGCUUAAAGCGUCCGUAGCCGGCUUGGCAAGUCUUCCGUUAAAUCCAGCAACUUAAUUGUUGGGCUGCGGGGGGUACUGUUAGGCUAGGGGGCGGGAGAGGCCGACGGUAUUCUCGGGGUAGGGGUGAAAUCUUAUAAUCCCGGGAGGACCACCAGUGGCGAAGGCUGUCGGCUAGCACGCGCCUGACGGUGAGGGACGAAAGCUGGGGGAGCGAACCGGAUUAGAUACCCGGGUAGUCCCUGCUGUAAACGAUGCGAGCUAGGUGUUGGGGCGGCUACGAGCCGCUUCAGUGCCGCAGCGAAGGCGUUAAGCUCGCCGCCUGGGGAGUACGGCCGCAAGGCUGAAACUUAAAGGAAUUGGCGGGGGAGCAC